rnacentral:rRNA from 1 species
UAUUCACAUACUUAGAUAAAUCUGAGUUUAAUAAGACAAAACAUAACUAGAUUAGUACUACCAAACAAACUCUAACCCUAAAGACCCGCAAGGUACCAUGAAUCCUUAAACCACAGAAAUGGUGUACCCAUCUACCUUUUGCAUAAUGUAGUUGCAAGAAAUAAACAAGUUAAGUUGUUUCCCGAAAAGUGGAGAGCUACUAUGAGCAUCAACCCUUAAUGUAACACUAUUAAGAUAGCAGCUUACAGUAGCAGCGAAAUACCUAUCGAGCCACUUGAUAGCUGGUUAUUCCUAAAAGGCAUAUAAGUGCCUUCUUACAGCACUCAACCAAAACACCUCUUUGUAAGAAAAACCUUAAGGGGGACAAGCUCCUUAGGGCCAUUAGAAACAAAUAAACAACAACACCUCAUAAAGGCUUAAAAACAGCCAAACAUAUCCGUUAUAGGAAAUGACAUCGUAGUACCAAAACAAAACAAAAAGUUCUAACCGUUAAGGAAUCUUACAGAAUAACUAACUCUUUAAUGAACCGGCAACUAUUAGUAUCCUAAAGCUACUUAUUCAAGUUCAUAAAUAGAUAAAAUAACCUCCUAAUAAUCCACAAGCUUUAACUCACCACUGGUAAUGAACUCGGCAAACCUAUUCUUUGCCUGUUUAUCAAAAACAUCGUCUUUUGUUUACCACCCAUAAAAGAUACUGCCUGCCCCAUGAUUUUAAUUAAAUGGCCGCGUUAGCGUGAGCGUGCUAAGGUAGCGUAAUAAACAGCUCCCUAAUUAGGAGCCAGUGAAUGGCCAAACAAAGAAAAGCUCUAUCACCAAUGAAAAGAAAACUUCUCCUCUGAGUGAAAAGACUCAGAUUAAAGAAAAAGACAAAAAGACCCCGCGGAACUUCCACACGGCUCUACUACUUAAACUAAAACCUACGUUUAGAGCUAAUUGGUUGGUUGGGGCAACCUUGGAGCAAAACAAACCUCCACUAUUACAAAAAACCAUAAAAAACUCAAUAAGGAACACAAUUGCAGUUACCCCGGGGAUAACAGCGUAAUCCAACUUAAGAGUACGAAUCGAAAGUUGGGUUUGCGACCUCGAUGUUGGCUUAGGGAAAGCAAUUUGGCGCAGUCGCUAAGUUAUGGUGCUAGUCUGUUCGACUACUAACUCCCUACACGAGCUGAGUUAAGACCGGCGAGAGCUAGGUUGGAUUCUAUCUUUUCCUACUAACUAAAUUCUUUACUGUACGAAAGGACCCAAAGAAGCACACACCAAAAGUGCUCCAUAAACAAAACGAUCAUUACAAUAACUUAUCAC